AUGGAAUCAAAAGAUGGAAUUCUAGGAGCAGAGUGACUGAUCCAGAGCUAAAUUAAAGAACAGAGCUGGUGCUGAAGACAACACUGGGAGCAUCUCAGGUGGUGUUGGACAUGGUGUUGGUGUUUGGGAAAGGGAAUAAAGGCCUUCGAUCACCCAUGACCAGCUCGGAGAAAAGGAAAAUGACCUUCCCUUUAAAAAAGCUGGAAGGUUUAAAAUUGUUCCAGCAUUUUGAAGGUCUGACCAUGCCCUCAGUCACACUGGGAAGAUGGAGCAGUAAUCAUAUGAUUUUUUUUCACUUACAUAUUCCACAUAAUGAAGGAAAACCAAGGUGAAUUCAACCCAGGUCUACAAAUGAGCAGAGAGUGCAAGUUUCAAGGAGAAAAUGCUGCUUUCUGUGAAAAAGGAAUGACUCAGCACAUCGGAGGCAGACAGAAAGAAAGACAGAUAAUAUGGGGGAAAUCAGAUGUGUCAGCUUUGGCUGACAGAGACUGGAAUAUUUCUCUGUCCUAAAUCAGUCAAAUUUUUGUCAGUUUGAAACAAACACGACGAGCUGACACUGAUGAGCUGUUUAUUGUGGAAGCCAUGGAGUCUCCAGUUCUUUACUUGCUCUGGAUUUUCAGGUGAAUUCUCUAAGCAUUCCAUUAAAAAUUCUGACUAUUUUUUCUUGCCCUGGGCAG